rnacentral:rRNA from 1 species
CUGCAGCUCAAGUGGUCAGGAUGAUUAUUGGGCCUAAAGCAUCCGUAGCCGGCGCUGUAAGUUUUCGGUUAAAUCUGUACGCUCAACGUACAGGCUGCCGGGAAUACUGCAGCGCUAGGGAGUGGGAGAGGUAGACGGUACUCGGUAGGAAGGGGUAAAAUCCUUUGAUCUAUUGAUGACCACCUGUGGCGAAGGCGGUCUACCAGAACACGUCCGACGGUGAGGGAUGAAAGCUGGGGGAGCAAACCGGAUUAGAGACCCGAGUAGUC